rnacentral:lncRNA from 1 species
CCGGACCGCGACCGCUGGGCGCAGCUCGGCCCGGGAGCGUUCGAGUCCCGCCGCCAGAGCAUCCUCCCGGCCCGGCGCACAGGUGUAGUUUUGAAGAGAACUAGAGGAAGGUAAUCCAAACAGAAGAUGCUCCAGGUGUAGAGGCCAUCAAAAGGGAAAGGAUAUUGAGUGGCAUCAUGCAAGAAUUGGCAAGAACAAGCACCUUAGGAAAGAUGCAAAAAGGGAACCAUGAAGAAAGCAGGUGAGCCAUUUUUCUCGGGAAGAUUGGUAUGAUGUGAAAGCAUCAGCAAUGUUCAAUAUAAGAUAUAAUGGAAAACUCCAGGCAAGAGAACUCCAGGAACCAAAAUCACACAUGAUGACCUCAAGGGUCAUGUUUUAGAAGUGAGACUUGUGGAUCUGCAAAAUGAUGAAGUUGCAUUUAGAGAAUUCAAGCUAAUUACUGAGGAUGUUCAGGGCAAAAACUGCCUAAUUUUCUUGAUCCAUCCUACCCGGGAUAAAAUGGACUCCAUGGUCAAAAAUGGCAGACCGUGAUUGAAUCUCACAUUCAUGUCAAGACCACUCAUGGUUAUUGGAUGCAUCUAUUCUGUGUGGGUUUUAAUAAAAAUGCAACAGUCAAAUUCAGAAGCCUUAUACCCAGCACCAACAGAUCCCCAAAUUUGCAAGAAGGUGAUGGAACACAUGACCUGAGAAGAGCAGACUUGAGAGAAGUGGGCAAUAAAUUGAUUCCAGACAGCAUUGGAAAUGAGGUAGAAAAGGCUUGCCAAUCUAUUUAUCUGCUCAGUAUUUUCUUUUUUUUUUUUUGUCUUUUGUCUUUGUUGUUGUUGUUGUUAUUGUUGUUAUUUCUUGGGCCGCUCCCGCGGCAUAUGGAGGUUCCCAGGCUAGGGGAUGAAUCGGAGCUGUAGCCACCGGCCUACGCCAGAGCCACAGCAACGCGGGAUCCGAGCCCUGUGGUGUAGGUUGCAGACGUGGCUCCCAUCUGGUGUGGCUGUGUCUGUGGCAUAGGCCCGCAGCUACAGAAUCCAGUUCCACCCCCAGCCUGGGAACCUCCAUAUGCUGUGAGUGUGGCCCUUAGAAAAAUAAAAUUGAAAAAAAAAAGAUAAAAAGGGAAAGAACUAGGUGUGUUCUAGAGCCUAAAACGUCACUGUCUAAUACAGUGGUGAUUACUACUUGUGGCUAUUUAGCAAUUGAAAUGUGCUCAGUGUGAUACAAAACAAACUUAUGAUUACCAAAGGAGAAAGGCAGAGGGGAGAGAUAACUUAGGACUUUGGGAUUAACAUAUGCACAGGACUACAUAUACAACCGAUAACCAAUAAGGAUCUACUGCAAAGCACAGGAAACUAAACUCAAUAUUUUUACUAACCUAUGACAGAAAAGAAUCAGAAAAAGAACACACACACAUAUACAACUGAAUCACUCUGCUAUAUAUCUGAAACUAACACAACAUUGCAAUUCAACUCUAUUUCAAUAAAAUGUUUUUAAAAAAGAAAUGUGCCUAGCCUGAAGUAAGAUGUAAUGUAAAUGCAAGAUGCAUGCCAGAUUUUGAAAAGAGUAGAAAACAAAGAGAAUUUAAAUAUCAUGUUAAAAAUUUUUAUAGUAAGUCCAUGUCGAAAUGAUAGUAGUUUUACAUAUUUGGUUAAAUAAAA